CGGAGGGUGCAAGCGUUAUCCGGAUUCACUGGGUUUAAAGGGUGCGUAGGUGGGCAGGUAAGUCAAUGGUGAAAUCUCCGGGCUUAACCCGGAAACUGCCAUUGAUACUAUUUGCUUGAAUACUGUGGAGGUCAGCGGAAUAUGUCAUGUAGCGGUGAAAUGCUUAGAUAUGACAUAGAACACCAAUUGCGAAGGCAGCUGGCUACACAAAUAUUGACACUGAGGCACGAAAGCGUGGGGAUCAAACAGGAUUAGAUACCCUGGUAGUCCACGCCCUAAACUAUGGAUACUCGACAUUUGCGAUAAACUGCAAGUGUCUGAGCGAAAGCAUUAAGUAUCCCACCUGGGAAGUACGAUCGCAAGAUUG
rnacentral:rRNA from 1 species